UACGUAGGGGGCAAGCGUUAUCCGGAUUUACUGGGUGUAAAGGGUGCGUAGGUGGCAUGGCAAGUCAGAUGUGAAAACUCGGGGCUCAACUUCGAGAUUGCAUCUGAAACUGCUAAGCUAGAGUGCAGGAGAGGAAAGCGGAAUUCCGAGUGUAGCGGUGAAAUGCGUAGAGAUUCGGAGGAACACCAGUAGCGAAGGCGGCUUUCUGGACUGUAACUGACACUGAGGCACGAAAGCGUGGGGAGCGAACAGG
rnacentral:rRNA from 1 species